GCGAGCUGGGUUCAGAACGUCGUGAGACAGUUUGGUCUCUAUCCUCUGCGCUCGUUGGAAUCCUGAGGAGGCCUGCCCAUAGUACGAGAGGACCUGGGUGGACGAACCUCUGGUAUGCCAGUUGUCGCGCCAGCGGCACGGCUGGUUGGCCACGUUCGGGAGGGAUAACCGCUGAAAGCAUCUAAGCGGGAAGCCCGCUCCAAGAUAAGGAUUCCUGACACCCCCCCCGGGGGUGUGUGAGACCCCAUAGAGAACAUGUGGUUGAUAGACCGGACGUGGAAGCCCCGCGAGGGGUGGAGCCGACCGGCACUAACGGUCGAAGACAACCAACAC
rnacentral:rRNA from 1 species